CCUGAUGCAGCGACGCCGCGUGNGNGAUGACGGCCUUCGGGUUGUAAACCUCUUUCAUUAGGGAAGAAGCGAAAGUGACGGUACCUGCAGAAGAAGCGCCGGCUAACUUCGUGCCAGCAGCCGCGGUAAUACGUAGGGCGCAAGCGUUAUCCCGAAUUAUUGGGCGUAAAGCCUCGUAGGCGGUUUGACGCGUCUGCCGUGAAAGUCCCGGGCUGAACCAGGAUCUGCGGUGGGUACGGGAGGCUAGAGUGAUGUAGGGGAACUGGAAAUCUAGGUGUAGCGGUGAAAUGCCCAGAUAUCAGGAGGAACACCAAUGGGGAAGGAGGUCUCUGUGCAUUAACUGACACUAAGGAGCGAAAGCAUGUGGAGCGAACAGGAUUAGAUACCCGGGUACUCCAUGCCAUAAACGUUGGACACUAGGUGUGUGGGACAUUCCACGUUUUCCGCACCAUAGCUAACGCAAUAAUUGCCCCGCCUGGUGAGUACCCCCGCAAGGCU
rnacentral:rRNA from 1 species